rnacentral:rRNA from 1 species
CCAGACUCCUACGGGAGGCAGCAGUGGGGAAUAUUGCACAAUGGGGGAAACCCUGAUGCAGCGACGCCGCGUGAGUGAAGAAGUAUUUCGGUAUGUAAAGCUCUAUCAGCAGGGAAGAAAAUGACGGUACCUGACUAAGAAGCCCCGGCUAACUACGUGCCAGCAGCCGCGGUAAUACGUAGGGAGCAAGCGUUAUCCGGAAUUAUUGGGUGUAAAGGGUGCGUAGACGGGAUAACGAGUUGGUUGUGAAACCCCUCGGCUCAACUGGGGAACUGCAACCAAAACUAUUAUUCUUGAGUGCAGGAGAGGAAAGUGGAAUUCCUAGUGUAGCGGUGAAAUGCGUAGAUAUUAGGAAGAACACCGGUGGCGAAGGCGACUUUCUGGACUGUAACUGACGUUGAGGCACGAAAGCGUGGGUAUCGAACAGGAUUAGAUACCCGAGUAUU